rnacentral:rRNA from 1 species
AGUGAACGCUGGCGGUAGGCCUAACACAUGCAAGUCGAACGGCAGCACAGUAAGAGCUUGCUCUUACGGGUGGCGAGUGGCGGACGGGUGAGGAAUACAUCGGAAUCUACUUUUUCGUGGGGGAUAACGUAGGGAAACUUACGCUAAUACCGCGUACGACCUACGGGUGAAAGCAGGGGAUCUUCGGACCUUGCGCGAUUGAAUGAGCCGAUGUCGGAUUAGCUAGUUGGCGGGGUAAAGGCCCACCAAGGCGACGAUCCGUAGCUGGUCUGAGAGGAUGAUCAGCCACACUGGAACUGGGACACGGUCCAGACUCCUACGGGAGGCAGCAGUGGGGAAUAUUGGACAAUGGGCGCAAGCCUGAUCCAGCCAUACCGCGUGGGUGAGGAAGGCCUUCGGGUUGUAAAGCCCUUUUGUUGGGAAAGAAAAGCAGCAGGUUAAUACCACGCUGUUCUGACGGUACCCAAAGAAUAAGCACCGGCUAACUUCGUG